UACAGAGGGUGCGAGCGUUGUCCGGAAUUACUGGGCGUAAAGGGCGCGUAGGCGGAUACUUAAGUCGGGGGUGAAAGCCCGGGGCUCAACCUCGGAAUUGCCUUCGAUACUGGGUAUCUUGAGUUCGGGAGAGGCGAGUGGAAUGCCGAGUGUAGAGGUGAAAUUCGUAGAUAUUCGGCGGAACACCAGUGGCGAAGGCGACUCACUGGCCCGAUACUGACGCUGAUGCGCGAAAGCGUGGGGAGCAAACAGG
rnacentral:rRNA from 1 species